UUUUUGUGUGUUUGUUUUCUUCCCCCACAAGACUUGUUAACAAAUGUCCAAAUUCAUGGGAGUCUUAAGGCUGCACACUGCGUAUUAAAAGUAAGAUAAGAAUGUUCUUCUGAUAAAAACAGCUCUGCUUCACAAACAGGAUUCUCCCGGUUUCUUUCUUUAAAUAUAUGGAGAAUUGCAGGCAUAAAAGUAAAAGUUCCAUCUACUCGCCAUCAACUUCAACAGUUACAUGCUGAACGUCAUUUCAUCUCUAGAACAGUGUGCAGCUCUAAAAGAUGCAGAGAAAUCGGAAAAGCGCUGGAAGUGCUUCUGUGCCACCAUCAUGGCUCCCUGCGUUGUCUUCCACCUCACUGCCCUUGUUUUUGUUAAGUUGGAAUUGUGCUCCCUUUUCUACAGCUGUGGGAAGCAGAUUUGAGAUGGAACUACAGGAAGGAAGUGGCAUAGGACCAGUAUCUAUGAAGGGGAAGUCGGCGUCAGUGCAUCUUUGCAGGAA